UCUAGGAGCAGGCUAGCCGGCGGGGGAGGGGGAUUCAGCAGGGGCAGAGAGGCCGAGGGGACCCGAUCCUGAGCGAGACGCAGGAGGUUCUGGUGCGGCGAGGAGGCACUGGGACGGGCGGGCCGCCGGGGAAACCCAGCGCCGGGACGGCAGCGGGCACCGCCGCCCUUGACAUCUCGCCCAGCCGGCCAUUGUACGGAUCUAUCGAAGGCCAGAUUGGAAACGGGGUUGGGGCAGCAAUAGAUCUCAGGUGUUCAUCUGUAAUCCGUCAUCAUAUGCAGGUAAGAUGGCAGGCUGGCUUGAUCCGUAUUUAUCGAACGGGGUUGGGGCACAUUUAUCGAACGAUGUCCUUGCGAGGAAAGGCUGGCCUCACAAUCCGUCAUGCUCUCUAUGCAAUGGGCCAAUGGAGGAUGUCGUGCACCUGCUAGCUUCCUGUCCCGUCUCCAUCCGAAUUUGGCACGACAUUAUUGCUCGCUGCAACCUUCAUCCGGGCCUCGCUCCCUCCACCACCAUAACUUCCCUGGUGCUUUGGAUCAAGCAGUCCAAUGGCAUCAUUACGGCAUCAGCAAAGAAGCCAUGGAGCGCACUCGUACAGCUGGUUUGGUGGUCGAUAUGGAACGAAUGCAAUGCAAGGAUAUUCAGAAACCAACGAUCGCCGCAGACGACUGUGGUGGAACGGAUGAUUGAAGAGGCAGCGGUCUGGCAAAGGGCGGGACGGUUCAAGGCCAUCUCCCUCCUCAACAGACCAAGAGAACCAGACUAGGAAAGCUUACUUCAGGCAAAAGAGAAGGCAUGUCCACCUAGCGAAGGACUGCACAUGUAAAGCUGCUGUAACUAAACUCUCUAUAACCACCACCACCACCCCCCCCCCCCCCCCCCCGCGCCGCGCAUCAAUGAAAAGCUGCUCCAUCAGCAUUUUCGUUAAAAAACAUUUACUCUGGCUGUCUUGACUAGUCUUGGUAAGGUGGAUCGAAUGGACAUAUUAGCUGAUACGUUCCUAUCGUGGAUUAAUCAAUGUUUACAGUUAGGCUUUUUGGGUGUAUGGGACGGGCCAAGGUGCAAGUCUGAAUUUCGACAAUAUGUAAAGCUCACCAAUACAUAAGGGCUAUUAACAGACUAAGGUGUGCGAAUAAGGGUUCUUCUGACGUGAGGCAGAGAGCAGACCAGAGUCAGUCCAACCUGGAUAAUCAUGCAGGUACUGUAUUCUUGCCCCAGUAUCAGUCGCAGUGUACAUGGGCUUGGUUGUGAAAGGUGUACAGAAAGUGGGUAGUUCUUGGCGCAGAUGACUAGAUUUUGCAGAUUGCAUAUCUAUGAUGUGCAAAGUACAGCCAUGUACUCCUUGGAUGCAAGAUACAACAUUGGUUGUUUUUGUUCAGUGGAGAGUGCGACACGAUUGAUGAUGUGUGUAGCACGAUUGCGGCAGUACCUCCAUGUCCAUCUAUUUUAAUGUUUAUGGAAAUUA